rnacentral:rRNA from 1 species
AUUGAACGCUGGCGGCAGGCCUAACACAUGCAAGUCGAACGAGUGGCGGACGGGUGAGUAAUGUAUGGGAAUCUGCCCGAUGGAGGGGGAUAACUACUGGAAACGGUGGCUAAUACCGCAUACUAUCGGAUGAGCCCAGAUGGGAUUAGCUAGUAGGUGGGGUAAAGGCUCACCUAGGCGACGAUCCCUAGCUGGUCUGAGAGGAUGACAAGCCAACCCUGAAAUUAGACACGGGCCAGACUCCUAAGGGAGGCAGCCGUGGGGAAUAUUGGAAAAUGGGCGCAAGGCUGAUGCAGCCAGUCCGCGUGGAGUAAGAAGGGCUUCGGGGUGUAAAGGACUUUCAGCCGGGAGGCGUUACCCGCAGAAGAAGCACCGGCUAACUCCGUGCCAGCAGCCGCGGUAAUAC